rnacentral:rRNA from 1 species
UACGAAGGGGGCUAGCGUUGUUCGGAAUUACUGGGCGUAAAGCGCGUGUAGGCGGCCCGGUAAGUCCGCUGUGAAAGUCGGGGGCUCAACCCUCGGAUGCCGGUGGAUACUGUCGGGCUUGAGUACGGAAGAGGCGAGUGGAAUUCCUGGUGUAGCGGUGAAAUGCGCAGAUAUCAGGAGGAACACCAAUUGCGAAGGCAGCUCGCUGGGACGUAACUGACGCUGAGACGCGAAAGCGUGGGGAGCAAACAGG